AGACCGAUGGCAGAAAAUAUGCGUUAAGUUGUAAAUUUAAUAAUGGUUUGUGUAAGACCUCGGUUUA
rnacentral:tRNA from 1 species